AAAGUCGUAACAAGGUUUCCGUAGGUGAACCUGCGGAAGGAUCAUUACCAAGCAAGUUGUUGACCCGCAUCGUCGCGCCGCCACCUUGCACUGUGCCGUUGCCGGGACACCAUCGGUUGAGAUUGUAUCGUCUCUCACAGGCCAGCGAGGUCUGCCGUGGGUAACACCACCGGUUGAGUAGUGACGGUCUCUCUGAAACCCAGCGGGGUCUGCCACAGGUGGCCCGUUCAGGCUAGCAGGAGUGGAUGCUCUGGCGGUGUAGGCCGACACAACACGAACCCAUCUGUGUACCCUUCCCGUUGCUUCCGCGGUGACGUUUAGUCUCCGCGGAAGGUUCGCGUAUAAACCAUUGUGUAUCUCCAUGCCAUGAGUCUGAACAUCAAUCUGUUAAGAUUAAAACUUUCAACAACGGAUCUCUUGGUUCUC
rnacentral:misc_RNA from 1 species